AUUUCAUUAAGAAGCAAAGACUCUCAUCCAUCAACAACUGCAUUGUCAUCUUAAAACUGCUCUUUUCAAUGUUAUUACUAUCACAACCGAACCCAAACAUGCAUGUUAUAGCAGUACAAUCGCGUUUGCACAGGAGAACUGCUGAACAUGUACACACAAAUACAUCACUGGUAAUGUACAUGUUUUUGUUUUUUUAUGUCAAAGAAAUGGAACAAGAAGAUUUGUGCCAGUAAAUUAUUGGCGCAGAUAGCCCAAUCGCUCGACCAUUCCUGUAGAGGACUCGGUAGCAGCCAUGUUUAGUUCGGUUCAGCCUCAGUGUUUCCUUCUCAGUAGGGAACGAUGAUUGAUUCGAUGAGCUCCUGGAGGGGAGCCAGUUCUUUCUUGUCAAUCAGCCCAAAUUCCUG
rnacentral:rRNA from 1 species